rnacentral:lncRNA from 1 species
UUAAAAGUUGCUCAAAUUCUAAUCUGCAGCUGGGAUGGGUAAUUACCCUGUGAUUGCUUCUCACAUCUCUACCACGUACGAUCAGCAGAAAAAGAAGGCUAUUGAAUGAAUAAGCCAGGACUUGAAGCUGCACUGCUAGAGCUCUUGGCCUGAUGGCUUGCUAUGCUAACUUGCCUUGGUAAAGUUAUCCUGACCAGAGCUCCCUCUGUUUCCUCAGAUGACUUAUUCCGUAACAGUUGUGGAUGAUGCUACCUGUGCCUCAUGUCUGUGACCCAGCAAAGCUGCUCUGCAGAAAGCUCCCGAGGACACAUCGCCUCCAUAAUGUAAAGGUGUUAAGCCCAAGAGUGAUCCUUAAUGAGCUACGAGCUGAUUUCCAUCUCAAAGGAGAAAAUUGCUUCAAAAAGCCCAUUUCAUUCUUCAAGACUAUUAUUACGGACCAAAACAUUAAAAUGCUGGAGAGUCGGCGGAGCAGUAAUAAAGUAAAGGUCAGUCGGCAUGACGCUGACUUAGUCAACGAAAGGAUUUCCAGGAGGACGAGAACAUGUGAUGAUCAGCUCAGCUUCUCCAGGACUGCUUUUCUCUUUCUCAUCAGGAACAUGGUAAGACUUUCCAUUUGUUCAGAUGUUGUUAUACCUAUUUUAGUAACAGUUUAUAGUUUUUAAAUAU